rnacentral:tRNA from 2 species
GCGAAGGUGGCGGAAUUGGUAGACGCGCUAGCUUCAGGUGUUAGUGUUCUUACGGACGUGGGGAUUCAAGUCCCCCCCCUCGCACCA